ACCAUCAGCUCAGUCGGUAGAGCAGGAGACUCUUAGCCUCAGGGUCGUGGGUUUGAGCCCCACCUUGGGCA